UACAGAGGGGGCAAGCGUUGUUCGGAAUUACUGGGCGUAAAGGGCGCGUAGGCGGCCUUCUAAGUCGAACGUGAAAUCCCCGGGCUCAACCCGGGAACUGCGUCCGAUACUGGAAGGCUUGAAUCCGGGAGAGGGAUGCGGAAUUCCAGGUGUAGCGGUGAAAUGCGUAGAUAUCUGGAGGAACACCGGUGGCGAAGGCGGCCUUCUGGACGGUGACUGACGCUGAGGCGCGAAAGCGUGGGGAGCAAACGGG
rnacentral:rRNA from 1 species